GGGUCUCCUGCAUUGCAGGUGGAUUCUUUACCAACUGAGAUAUCAGUGAAACCUAAAGGCUAAAGGAAUGAGGAAGAUAAUAAAAAUUUCUUAGCGUUUUACUUAAGAUGUUCUUAAUAUUUUAACUGGUUCGAAAAGAAGCAUGCAAAAAUGGCCAUGCAUUAUGAAAAGCUGCAGUACAGCGAGGCUUCCAGGUGGUGACAAGAGAGCAGGAGAUGCAGAAGUGGGCUUAAAUUAGAGGGAUAGGGCUGAAACUAAGUGGCCGAGUCUUCUAUCAUCAGCAGAUUCUGCUUUUUCUGUUAAACAUGGAAAAGAUACAGAUGUCUCAUUACUUUGCCAAACAGUCUUCUCUCCUUUUUUCAUAAGUGCAAGAGUCACAGAAGUGACCUGUGAUGUUGAUGGAGUUCAGGACAUGCUACUCCAAAAUAUGGCACUUUGCCAUAUUGAAUAUCUUAAGCUGAAAAAGUUUGAGAAAAUGGCAGAAGCAGGAAGAUCACUGACCUCCCUUUUAUCACCCUUUUCUUCUGAAACAGGUCAUUAAAUCUUCAUGUAAGGCAUACUUUUCCUAUACCCAGAGGAAAGGCAAAUCCUUAUCAUCAAAGAAAGAGAUGCCAAGAGAUGUCAGGAUUCUUCCUGACUUACAGGGCUUCCUAAGUCCCACUCCCACCCCUUUCCUGCUACUGUUUACUGUAAUGACCUUAUACUCCUAACCUGUCAUAUUCCUUCAUGACUGUCCAUUCUUCAUCAAACCGAGAAUAAAAUACUCAGAUUUAACUGCUUCUUUGGAUCAUCAUUUCCUUAUGAAGGCCCCUGUGUCACACAAAAUUUGUGUUUUCUCCUCUUAAUUUGACUUUUCUCCUAUUAUUAGCUUAUUCUUCAGACUCAGCCAUGGACAUUAAG
rnacentral:lncRNA from 1 species